GUAGGAGGCGAGCGUUAUCCGGAUUCACUGGGCGUAAAGCGCGUGCAGGUGGCUUGGUAAGUUAGGCGUGAAAUCUCCCGGCUCAACUGGGAGAGGUCGUCUAAUACUACCGGGCUAGAGAACAGAAGAGGAAGAUGGAAUUCCCGGUGUAGUGGUGAAAUGCGUAGAUAUCGGGAGGAACACCAGUGGCGAAGGCGAUCUUCUGGUCUGUUUCUGACACUCAGACGCGACAGCUAGGGUAGUAAACGGGAUUAGAGACCCCGGUAAUCCUAGCCGUAAACGAUGUGAACUUGGCGUUGGUGGGUUAAACUCCAUCAGUGCCGAAGCAAACGCGAUAAGUUCACCGCCUGGGGACUACGGCCGCAAGGUUA
rnacentral:rRNA from 1 species